GGAUAAGAUNCAUCGGUUAUGGGAUGNGGUCGCGUCCUAUCANACUUGAUGGCGGGGUAACGGCCCACCAUGGCUUCGACGGGUUAGCCGGCCUGAGAGGGCGACCGGCCACAUUGGGACUGAGAUACGGCCCAGACUCCUACGGGAGGCAGCAGUGGGGAAUAUUGCACAAUGGGCGCAAGCCUGAUGCAGCGACGCCGCGUGCGGGAUGGAGGCCUUCGGGUUGUAAACCGCUUUUGAUCGGGAGCAAGCCCUUCGGGGUGAGUGUACCCUUCGAAUAAGCACCGGCUAACUACGUGCCAGCAGCCGCGGUAAUACGUAGGGUGCAAGCGUUAUCCGGAAUUAUUGGGCGUAAAGGGCUCGUAGGCGGUUCGUCGCGUCCGGUGUGAAAGCCCAUCGCUUAACGGUGGGUCUGCGCCGGGUACGGGCGGGCUGGAGUGCGGUAGGGGAGACUGGAAUUCCC
rnacentral:rRNA from 1 species